rnacentral:rRNA from 1 species
AACGUAGGGGGCGAGCGUUGUCCGGAAUUACUGGGCGUAAAGGGCGUGUAGGCGGCUCGUGAAGUCAGGAGUGAAAACUCAGGGCUCAACCCUGAGAGUGCUUUUGAAACCAGCGGGCUUGAGUGCAGGAGAGGAAAGUGGAAUUCCCAGUGUAGCGGUGAAAUGCGUAGAUAUUGGGAGGAACACCAGUGGCGAAAGCGGCUUUCUGGCCUGCAACUGACGCUGAGGCGCGAAAGCGUGGGGAGCAAACAGG